UUUUGCAAGUGAAGUUCUCGCUUGCCCCAGCAGCCUUUUCCCCUGCAAAGCGCUAAGCCGGAAAGCUCCUGGUUUUAAACGGAACUGCUUGUUGGGAUUUGACUCCCGUUUCGGAGAAGGACAAGGGGUCUUUGCGCAGCCCAUGUGGCGAGCGUGGUUGUGAAAGCUUUUCUAGUUGCUGGAGUUGAAAAGAGGAUGUAGCCAGUCUGAGAAUGGGGCUUUUCACCAAGAGGAGAUCACAAUGGCCAGAGAAGAUUCCGUGAAGUGUUUGCGGUGCUUGCUUUAUGCCCUCAAUCUGCUCUUCUGGAAUGCAUCAGAGACCACAGACAUUGGUUGUUCUUCUACGUUGGGCACAAGAUUUAGAUGGCUAGACAAUAGUUGCCCUAGAGUCUUGGACAAAGAUAUGUAUUUGUUUGAUCCUGAUUAUUCAUGCCAGUAAAAGAGGAUGAAGAAACAUUUUAAGGGCAUAAAGGUAAAUGUGAACAUUGAAGCUCCUAUUGUUAAAACCUCAGGUUUUGCAUUAGAACAGGAUCAUGAAAAUCUUUAAGGCCAAGAAACACAUUAUGAAAAUUAGGUAAAUAAAUUAGGUAUGAAUAGCACAAAGAGAUGGUUGUAUGUUAAGAUUAAGCUAACCACAUUUUAAAUAUUUCGAUUUUAAGUUCUGUUAACUAGAAGAAAAGGGCUUCUUCAUCCCCAUAUAAUUUUCCUCGGUAAUGGGAUGCAGGUUGGAGCUUUAACUCAGAAGCAGUGUCAAUUAUGGUCCCUUAACUUUUGUUUUAUGUACCUUAAAUGGCUUGGGUUAGCGUUA